rnacentral:rRNA from 1 species
ACGCGAGGAACCUUACCAGGUCUUGACAUCCCUCUGACCGGUAUAGAGAUAUACCUUUCCUUCGGGACAGAGGAGACAGGUGGUGCAUGGUUGUCGUCAGCUCGUGUCGUGAGAUGUUGGGUUAAGUCCCGCAACGAGCGCAACCCUUGAUCUUAGUUGCCAGCACUUCGGGUGGGCACUCUAAGGUGACUGCCGGUGACAAACCGGAGGAAGGUGGGGAUGACGUCAAAUCAUCAUGCCCCUUAUGACCUGGGCUACACACGUACUACAAUGGCCAGUACAACGGGAAGCGAAGCCGCGAGGUGGAGCGAAUCCUAAAAAGCUGGUCUCAGUUCGGAUUGCAGGCUGCAACUCGCCUGCAUGAAGUCGGAAUUGCUAGUAAUCGCGGAUCAGCAUGCCGCGGUGAAUACGUUCCCGGGUCUUGCACACACCGCCCGU